GACGAACGCUGGCGGCGGGCUUAACACAUGCAAGUCGAACGGAAAGGCCCUGCUUUUGUGGGGUGCUCGAGUGGCGAACGGGUGAGUAACACGUGAGUAACCUGCCCUUGACUUUGGGAUAACUUCAGGAAACUGGGGCUAAUACCGGAUAGGAGCUCCUGCUGCAUGGUGGGGGUUGGAAAGUUUCGGCGGUUGGGGAUGGACUCGCGGCUUAUCAGCUUGUUGGUGGGGUAGUGGCUUACCAAGGCUUUGACGGGUAGCCGGCCUGAGAGGGUGACCGGCCACAUUGGGACUGAGAUACGGACCAGACUCCUACGGGAGGCAGCAGUGGGGAAUAUUGCACAAUGGGCGGAAGCCUGAUGCAGCAACGCCGCGUGCGGGAUGACGGCCUUCGGGUUGUAAACCGCUUUCGCCUGUGACGAAGCGUGAGUGACGGUAAUGGGUAAAGAAGCACCGGCUAACUACGUG
rnacentral:rRNA from 1 species